rnacentral:rRNA from 1 species
GAGUUUGAUCAUGGCUCAGAUUGAACGCUGGCGGCACGCCUUACACAUGCAAGUCGAACGGCAGCACGGGAGCUUGCUCCUGGUGGCGAGUGGCGAACGGGUGAGUAAUGCAUCGAAACGUAUCCUGGAGUGGGGGAUAACGUAGCGAAAGUUACGCUAAUACCGCAUAUUCUGUGAGCAGGAAAGCGGGGGACCUUCGGGCCUCGCGCUCUUGGAGCGGCCGAUGUCGGAUUAGCUAGUUGGUGAGGUAAAGGCUCACCAAGGCGACGAUCCGUAGCAGGUCUGAGAGGAUGAUCUGCCACACUGGAACUGAGACACGGUCCAGACUCCGUACGGGAGGCAGCAGGUGGGAAUUUUGGACAAGUGGGGGCAACCCUGAUCCAGCCAUCGCCGCGUGAGUGAAGAAGGCC